ensembl:lncRNA
CUGCUCUCUGCUUUCUUCAUCUCCAGGUCUCCCAUCUGUCCCUGUCUCUACCAUCCUCAUCCUCACUCUGUCUCUCCAUGGGAGUCAUGUCCUCCCCCAGGUUCCUGUCACUUCAUCUGCUUGGAGCCUUGCUGCUGCCGCUGCUGCUGCUGCCUGGUUCUUGGGCCCAGCAUUAUGAUGAUUUCACAUCAUCUCCAGAUUACGACUCUGACUACAACUCCACCUUUGAGUACAGCUUCUUCAGUAAUACGAGCAGCGAGGACCUGGACAGACUUGUGGAACGCUACCUCGAUCCAGACGAAACUACGGAGGACACUGGAGGACCAGAGGAGGAAGUGGCUGUAACCAUGGUGAUUACAAGAAGAACAACAGAGGGGGUCAACGCUCACGGCACUGCACCAUUUCAGGUUUCUGUGGUCAGGCUGAGAACUCUGCUGAGCCUCAUGGUUCACCAAACCCUGAGUCAAAGCCAAACCUUCAGAGGCAGCCGAUGGAAGACAGCACACUGCUCAGUAGACCAUUCAACACUUUAUUACUUCUAGAAGGGAGAUGCGUCCUGCACAACACGUUGCUGCAGAUCUCAAAAUGCUGGUGUGCCCCUUUAUUACAGAAGCUCUCUCAUUCUAGUCUAAACAACAGUGUCGCAGUAACUUUCCACCAGAGAUGCUCCCCUCUUAUCUACUUUUUCCCAGGCGUGAGCGAGAGUCUGCAGCUCUCUACUCCCCAAGGACACACGGUCUCAUGCCUUUAUUUUCAGGGCUGUGUCCACUACUACACUAUAUAACUUUAUAACACUUAUUAAUAAAAAAGCAUAGAUUAUUGAGGCACUGAAAAAUUAUUUAUUCCCCACAGUUAUUUAACAUAUAAUCACAGUAAACUAGUAAUAACAAAACAACUAACAAGCUUCAUGGUCAAACUUUCUAACAAAAACAAUAAAUAUGUUGUCAAAUGUCACUUAUGACCCACUGAAGAUGAUGAUGAAGACUAUUUAACCGUUUAACAAGCUGAUGAUGUGUUUACUGUCUGCAGGAAAUCAGGACGCUGCUCUGGACUCUGGUGAUCCUGUUGGUCCUGCAGCAGCUGCAACACACACUCUGGUGACAGGUGUCGAGACAAGCCCCUCAGCUCCGUCCUCAGUGAACAUGGCUCCUCAUGGGAGCAGGUGGACCAAUCACAGAGCUUCUUUCCUGAACCAUUUCAGAAAGUUUGCAGACAAACGCCUGGAAGAUUUCACUACGUGGUGACAUUUUUAUUAUACGUAAAGAAGUUUUUUGAUGGAACUGCUGAAUAAGCCAUACUUUAGAAAAGAUGUUUAUAUUUGUAAUAAAAAGAUGUUUUUAAAGACAAUAUGAAGUUAUUUUGUGUCCUUAUUGUGCAAACAAACAACAUAAGUGUUUGUAGUUGAGUGCAAACAAGCACUGUGUUACAGAAUAAACAUGUUGAUGGACGGGGUCAGCGGGGGCCUGGAGCUUUCAUUUUUUCUCCAAAUCACAAGUGUUGUUGGCUGAACUGUGAAACGUCAGCUGAAAGAUUUCUAUUACAGCAGAACCGUCACUGUGCAAACGUUUGCAUCUGUUCAUAUUCAGGAUCCAGGAGCGGAUUUGGAUCCACAGUUUAAUCACAGAUUUAUUUGACUUGCGAUACAUUUUUGAUUGUGCUGUUUAUAGUUUUCCUCUAAAUCCUGUUUGUUUGCAUAAAAAAGACACAAAAGUGACAGAAUAAAAACACGAUUGUAUGAAUGAGCAUAUUUGCAGAUACAUUUAUAUAUAAACAAAUAAAGAUGAAGUAUUUAAAGUGGACCCCAGCAUCCUCCGUGGUUACAAUCAUCAGUUUGUCAGCGACAUGUUUGAUUGUUUAUUUGGAUGUUUG